rnacentral:rRNA from 1 species
UACAGAGGGUGCAAGCGUUAAUCGGAUUUACUGGGCGUAAAGCGUGAGUAGGUGGCUCGCCAAGUCGAUUGUGAAAGCCCUGGGCUCAACCUGGGAACUGCAUUUGUGACUGCACGGCUAGAGUGUGUCAGAGGGGGUAGAAUUCCACGUGUGAGCAGUGAAAUGCGUAGAUAUGUGGAGGAAUACCGAUGGCGAAGGCAGCCCCCUGGGAUGACACUGACGCUCAUGCACGAAAGCGUGGGGAGCGAACAGG